rnacentral:rRNA from 1 species
UACAGAGGGUGCGAGCGUUAAUCGGAAUUACUGGGCGUAAAGCGCGCGUAGGCGGCUUUGCAAGUCGAGUGUGAAAUCCCCAGGCUUAACCUGGGAACUGCAUUCGAGACUGCAUGGCUAGAGUAUGGGAGAGGGAAGUGGAAUUUCAGGUGUAGCGGUGAAAUGCGUAGAUAUCUGAAGGAACAGCAGUGGCGAAAGCGACUUCCUGGACCAAUACUGACGCUCAUGUGCGAAAGCGUGGGGAGCAAACAGG